GGGCCUAUAGCUCAGCCUGGCAGAGCAGGAGACUCAUAAUCUCUUGGUCCAAGGUUCAAAUCCUUGUGGGCCCACCA
rnacentral:tRNA from 2 species